AGUCCCGGAACACUCUCGGCCCUCUUCAGCCACUCCCUCCCCAACCCACACGCCAUCAACCUCCAGACCCUCUCGCCGUGGCUUAGAGGUGUCUCUGACAACGUGGCACACUGGGAAGGCCUUCUUUCCUGCUACCAAUACAAAUGCAUUCUGAAUUUGAUAUGUCAUUAAAUGUAAAAAUACAGCCAAUUUGAAACAAGCAAAUGGAAAUUCCCAGGAACCAAAAACAGAAAGAAAAAUCAGAGCUACCGCAGUGCUGUCCCUGCAGACAGAAUUUGGGAGAGGUACUCAGAGUCACCUCCUGUGAGCCUAUGCAAGCCAGCUCCUGCACAACCCUGGUUUUAGUCCAGGUAAAGGCCCGCCCAGGUGUUUGAAUAUGGACUCCUCACAUACUUCUGCAGACUCCAGCUUUGGGUUGACCCAUCGGGGAGAGGGAACUUAGCAUGAACCCUUGUAUAAAAAUGAAAAUCUCUUUCAUUGGAAGGGAAGAUCACUGACUGGGCUAGUCUCCCAAGACCUAGGAAAGAGCUUGGCUGUCAGAGGCCUUCUGCAGAAUUCCACAUUAAACAGGAUGAAGAAUAGGUUGUUAGCAGACUGAGGUACUUGGGGCAACAUUUCGUACACAACAGGAGGGAGAAACGACUCCAGGUUGUCUUGUGGUAGAGGAGAUUUUGCCUUGCAAUUUUACAUACUUAUGCUACGUGGAAGGCUGGGUGGCGUGACUUCAGAAAAAUGUUUCCUCAGGAAAGAGACACACAGAGAGAGAGAGAAAGAGAGAAAGAGAGAACCCACCUACCUGUUUUGCAAAAGUCUCAUGAAUCAUCCCUUCCUGUGGUCCUGCUCCCUGAGAUCCUUUCACCGCUCACAGUGGGCUACUUCUAAGAGCGUGCCUGGCACAGGGUCACUGAGAGCAUAGUCUUAAUAAAACAA
rnacentral:lncRNA from 1 species